UACGUAGGGCGCAAGCGUUAUCCGGAAUUAUUGGGCGUAAAGAGCUCGUAGGCGGUCUGUCGCGUCGAUCGUGAAAACUUGGGGCUUAACCCUGAGCUUGCGGUCGAUACGGGCAUGACUGGAGUUCGGCAGGGAGACUGGAAUUCCUGGUGUAGCGGUGAAAUGCGCAGAUAUCCGGAGGAACACCAGCGGCGAAGGCGGACUUUCUGGUCUGAUACUGACGCUGAGGCGCGAAAGCGUGGGGAGCGAUCGG
rnacentral:rRNA from 1 species